CUUUACUAUAGCUUUACACUGAACUUUGUUAACGACUGUGUAGGAUAGGUGGGAGGCUUUGAAGCCAGGUCGCUAGAUCUGGUGGAGCCAAGCUUGAAAUACCACCCUGUUGUUGAUGAAGUUCUAACCUAGACCCUGAUACGGGGUUGGAGACAGUGUAUGGUGGGUAGUUUGACUGGGGCGGUCUCCUCCUAAAGAGUAACGGAGGAGCACAAAGGUAUCCUAGGCAUGGUCGGAAAUCAUGCUGUUAGUGCAAAGAUAGAAGGAUGCUUGACUGCGAGAGUGACAAUUCGAGCAGGGACGAAAGUCGGUCUUAGUGAUCCGGUGGUUCUGUAUGGAAGGGCCAUCGCUCAACGGAUAAAAGGUA
rnacentral:rRNA from 1 species